UCGGUCGGCCGGACGGUCGCCGGGACAAGGUUCCGGGGUCGGGACUCGGUUCGUCGGAACGCAGGCACUCGGGGUAGAUUCCGCGUGUGGUGUCUUCGGGCCGAAUCCCAACCUCGGGAUCUUGUUCGGGAGGAAAGUCCGGGCUUCAUAGGGCGCGGUGGUGGAUAACGUCCACCCCCGGUAACGGACGCGAGCUUCCCGGCUCGCGCCGCCAACGGGCGGGAAAGUGCAACAGAAAGUGUACCGCCGGCGAGUGCGGGAAAAGGGGAAAGAUAAAAGGAGAAAGGAAAAAGAGAAAAGGAAAAACAAAAUGAGCGCGAACUGUGUCGGUCAUUUUGCCUUUCCCCUUUUUCCUUUUACCUUUCCCCUUUUUCCUUUUCCUUCACUCGCCGGUAAGGGUGAAAAGGUGCGGGGCGCGAGCCCUUAAUGUAAGAGCGCACCAGCGGCGAGGUGACUCGUCGGCUCGGCAAACCCCACCGGAAGCAAGGUCAAGCAGGGGACAGGGUCGGCCCGACCCGUUACGAUCCCCGGGUAGACCGCUCGAUCCCGUCGGCAACGACGGGGCUAGAUAAAUGACCGUCACCGUCCGAAAGGGCGGGGACAAAACCCGGCUUACAGGCCGGCCGACAGA
rnacentral:RNase_P_RNA from 2 species